GCUGGUGUAGCUCAGCUGGUAGAGCAACUGUUUCGUAAACAGUAGGUCGGCGGUUCAAUCCCGCCCGCCAGCU
rnacentral:tRNA from 1 species